UGGCGGAUAGUCUAGUGGUUAGGACAACAGUGACAAUGUGGCUGUCACGGGUUCGAAUCCCGUUCCGCCAA
rnacentral:tRNA from 1 species